rnacentral:rRNA from 1 species
AUUGAACGCUGGCGGCAGGCUUAACACAUGCAAGUCGAGCGGGGUGAUGGUGCUUGCACUAUCACUUAGCGGCGGACGGGUGAGUAAUGCUUAGGAAUCUGCCUAUUAGUGGGGGACAACAUCUCGAAAGGGAUGCUAAUACCGCAUACGUCCUACGGGAGAAAGCAGGGGAUCACUUGUGACCUUGCGCUAAUAGAUGAGCCUAAGUCGGAUUAGCUAGUUGGUGGGGUAAAGGCCUACCAAGGCGACGAUCUGUAGCGGGUCUGAGAGGAUGAGCCGCCACACUGGGACUGAGACACGGCACAGACUCCUACGGGAGGCAGCAGGGGGGAAUAUUGGACAAUGGGGGGAACCCUGAUCCAGCCAUGCCGCGUGUGUGAAGAAGGCCUUAUGGUUGUAAAGCACUUUAAGCGAGGAGGAGGCUCUUUUGGUUAAUACCCAAGAUGAGUGGACGUUACUCGCAGAAUAAGCACCGGCUAACUCUGUGCCAGCAGCCGCCGUAA